rnacentral:rRNA from 1 species
GUGCCAGCCGCCGCGGUAAUACGUAGGUGGCAAGCGUUGUCCGGAAUUAUUGGGCGUAAAGCGCGCGCAGGCGGUUUCUUAAGUCUGAUGUGAAAGCCCCCGGCUCAACCGGGGAGGGUCAUUGGAAACUGGGAAACUUGAGUGCAGAAGAGGAGAGUGGAAUUCCACGUGUAGCGGUGAAAUGCGUAGAGAUGUGGAGGAACACCAGUGGCGAAGGCGACUCUCUGGUCUGUAACUGACGCUGAGGCGCGAAAGCGUGGGGAGCGAACAGGAUUAGAAACCCGCGUAGUCC